UACGGUGAAUACGUUCCCGGACCUUGCACACACCGCCCGUCAAGCCAUGGAAGCCGGGGGCUCAAGUCGGUAACCGUAAGGAGCCGCCUAGGGUAAAACUGGUGACUGGGGCU
rnacentral:rRNA from 1 species